AGGCUUUGUGGGUACGGUCACAGUCGCAGCACGGUACCGCUGAAGGGUGACCGGCCACACUAGACUGAGACCGAUCAGACUCUACGUAUGCAGCAUUGGGGCAUAUGCACAAUUGCGGAGCUGAUGCAGGACGCCGCUUGAGGAUGACGCUCGGCUGUAAGCAUCUUCAGCAGUGAGAGCCACCAAGUGACGGUACUGCAGAAGAAGCGCGGCUAACUACGUGUCAGCAGCCGCGGUAAUACGUAGGGCGCAAGCGUGUCCUGGAAAUAUUGGGCGUAAAGAGCUCGUAGGCGGCUUGUCGCGUCUGCUGUGAAAGCCCGGGGCUCAACCCCGGGUAUGCAGUGGGUACGGGCAGACUAGAGUGCAGUAGGGGAGACUGGAAUUCCUGGUGUAGCGGUGAAAUGCGCAGAUAUCAGGAGGAACACCGAUGGCGAAGGCAGGUCUCUGGGCUGUUACUGACGCUGAGGAGCGAAAGCAUGGGGAGCGAACAGGAUUAGAUACCCUGGUAGUCCAUGCCGUAAACGUUAGGCACUAGGUGUGGGGGACAUUCCACGUUCUCCGCGCCGUAGCUAACGCAUUAAGUGCCCCGCCUGGGGAGUACGGCCGCAAGGCUAAAACUCAAAGGAAUUGACGGGGGCCCGCACAAGCGGCGGAGCAUGCGGAUUAAUUCGAUGCAACGCGAAGAACCUUACCAAGGCUUGACAUUCACCGGACUGCCUCAGAGAUGGGGUUUCCCUUCGGGGUCGGUGGACAGGUGGUGCAUGGUUGUCGUCAGCUCGUGUCGUGAGAUGUUGGGUUAAGUCCCGCAACGAGCGCAACCCUCGUUCUAUGUUGCCAGCACGUGAUGGUGGGGACUCAUAGGAGACUGCCGGGGUCAACUCGGAGGAAGGUGGGGAUGACGUCAAAUCAUCAUGCCCCUUAUGUCUUGGGCUUCACGCAUGCUACAAUGGCCGGUACAAAGGGUUGCGAUACUGUGAGGUGGAGCUAAUCCCAAAAAGCCGGUCUCAGUUCGGAUUGAGGUUUGCAACUCGACCUCAUGAAGUUGGAGUCGCUAGUAAUCGCAGAUCAGCAACGCUGCGGUGAAUACGUUCCCGGGCCUUGUACACACCGCCCGUCAAGUCACGAAAGUUGGUAACACCCGAAGCCGGUGGCCUAACCCCUUGUGGGACGAGCCGUCGUAGUGACCCUCCCUU
rnacentral:rRNA from 1 species